UACUUGAUUACGUAUAGGCACAGUCUAACUGAGUAUGCUUACGACCGAGCUUGUGGGAUGCCUAUGUCCAACUGUGGACUGCAAUAGGCUGAAGAUAGCGAGCGAAAUGGCGAUCGAGCGGGAAGAGUUAAAGUGAUAGAUAAUUAAUUGUUGGGAAACCAAAUUGUAGUAAUGGCGACCACCAAAAAAUAGACUAAAAUUCAAAGGAUGUAUAACUAUUAGUAUUCAAAAAUAAUAAUAAAAAGUCAUUUUUU